GACGAACGCUGGCGGCGUGCCUAAUACAUGCAAGUCGAACGCAGUGGGGACGGGUGAGUUACACGUGGGUAACCUCCCAUCAGAGGGGAUAACACUUGGAAACAGGUGCUAAACCGAUACUGAUGGAUGAACCCGCGGGGCAUUAGCUAGUUGUGGAGGGAACGGCUUACCAAGGCCAGGAGGCAUAGCCGACCUGAGAGGGGUAUCGGCCACACUGGGACUGAGACCCGACCCAGACUCCUACGGGAGGCAGCAGUAGGGAAUCUUCGGCAAUGGACGAAAGUCUGACCGAGCAACGCCGCGUGAGUGAAGAAGGUUUUCGGAUCGUAAAACUCUGUUGUUAGAGAAGCGGUAUCUAACCAGAAAGCCACGGCUAACUACGUGCCAGCCGCCGCGGUAAUAC
rnacentral:rRNA from 1 species